rnacentral:lncRNA from 1 species
GUGUUAUUGUUGUUAUUUGCUGCAAGCUCUUGUAUGAAUGAAAUGAGUUGAGUUUCACAUGAUCGUGACUGACGGAAGCCAUGCUGGAGGUCAUACAGUAUAUUGUUCUUUUCAAGGUGGUUGAUGAUGUGUUUGGUGAUGAUAUGCUCCAUAAGUUUACAGGAAAUACAUGUUAAUGAUAUUGGGCGGUAAUUUUCUGGCUUGUAUUUUUCCCCUUUUUUAAAUGCUGGUGCUACAUUGGCGUGUUUCCAGUCUGUUGGUGUUAUGCCAGUUUCAAAUGAUGUUUUGAAGAUUAGUGUAAGAAUUGGAGCUGUUUGAUCUUUGAGUUCUUUUAAUAUUCUACCACUGAUGUUGUCUGGGCCAGUUGCCUUAUGAGGGUUUAUGUUGUGUAGUAGUUUUUUGACACCGGGUAAAGAUAUUUCAAGUGGUGUUAUCACAGGGUGUGAG